UUUGAAGAGAGAGUUCAAGAGAACGUGAAACCGUUCAGGGGUAAACCUGUGAAACCCAAAAGAUCGAANGAGGNGAUUCNUCGUCAGCUUAUUCAGUAUUAAUGCAAGCUAUGAUGUGAUAAGAGAAUCCUUGNGGUCACUAGAUUAUACUUGCUUGUAUUAUUUUUGCUGGGGGUGUCGGCGUGCACUUCUCCUCUAGUAGAACGUCGCAACCCGUNGGAUGUUUAUCUAUGGCCUANNUGGAGGCCUUUGUUAUAUAUUAUAUCNAANACCUUUUGGNGUUCUGA
rnacentral:rRNA from 1 species